rnacentral:rRNA from 1 species
GACGAACGCUGGCGGCGUGCUUAACACAUGCCAGUCGAACGGAAAGGCCCUGCUUUUGUGGGGUGCUCGAGUGGCGAACGGGUGAGUAACACGUGAGUAACCUGCCCUUGACUUUGGGAUAACUUCAGGAAACUGGGGCUAAUACCGGAUAGGAGCUCCUGCUGCAUGGUGGGGGUUGGAAAGUUUCGGCGGUUGGGGAUGGACUCGCGGCUUAUCAGCUUGUUGGUGGGGUAGUGACUUACCAAGGCUUUGACGGGUAGCCGGCCUGAGAGGGUGACCGGCCACAUUGGGACUGAGGUACGGCCCAGACUCCUACGGGAGGCAGCAGUGGGGAAUAUUGCACAAUGGGCGGAAGCCUGAUGCAGCAACGCCGCGUGCGGGAUGACGGCGUUCGGGUGGUAGACCGCUUUCGCCUGUGACGAAGCGUGAGUGACGGUAAUGGGUAAAGAAGCACCGGCUAACUACGUG